GACGAACGCUGGCGGCAUGCCUUACACAUGCAAGUCGAACGGACCUAGCAAUAGGUUAGUGGCGAACGGGUGAGUAAUACAUGAGCAACCUGCCUCGAACAGGGGGAUAACACCGGGAAACUGGUGCUAAUACCGCAUAAGACCACAGCGCGGCAUCGCGCAGGGGUAAAAACGAUUCAGUGGUUUGAGAUGGGCUCAUGUCCCAUUAGCUAGUUGGUGAGAUAACAGCCCACCAAGGCGACGAUGGGUAGCCGACCUGAGAGGGUGAUCGGCCACAUUGGGACUGAGACACGGCCCAGACUCCUACGGGAGGCAGCAGUGGGGAAUAUUGGGCAAUGGGCGAAAGCCUUACCCAGCAAUGCCGCGUGAGUGAAGGCGGUUUUCGGAUCGGUAAAGCUCUGUUGUAAGAGAAAAACGGCACUCAUAGGGAAUGGAUGAGUGAGUGAUGGUAAUCUUACCAGAAAAGUCACGGG
rnacentral:rRNA from 1 species